AUUGAACGCUGGCGGCAGGCUUAACACAUGCAAGUCGAGCGGAGAUGAGGUGCUUGCACCUUAUCUUAGCGGCGGACGGGUGAGUAAUGCUUAGGAAUCUGCCUAUUAGUGGGAGACAACGUUCCGAAAGGAAUGCUAAUACCGCAUACGCCCUACGGGGGAAAGCAGGGGAUCUUCGGACCUUGCGCUAUUAGAUGAGCCUAAGUCGGAUUAGCUAGUUGGGGGGGUAAAGGCCUACCAAGGCGACGAUCUGUAGCGGGUCUGAGAGGAUGAGCCGCCACACUGGGACUGAGACACGGCCCAGACUCCUACGGGAGGCAGCAGUGGGGAAUAUUGGACAAUGGGCGGAAGCCUGAUCCAGCCAUGCCGCGUGUGUGAAGAAGGCCUUUUGGUUGUAAAGCACUUUAAGCGAGGAGGAGGCUACCUGGAUUAAUACUCUAGGAUAGUGGACGUUACUCGCAGAAUAAGCACCGGCUAACUCUGUGCCAGCAGCCGCCGUAACAC
rnacentral:rRNA from 1 species